AACCGCGAGGUCAAGCAAAUCCCAUAAAGUUGUUCUCAGUUCGGAUUGUAGUCUGCAACUCGACUACAUGAAGCUGGAAUCGCUAGUAAUCGUAGAUCAGCAUGCUACGGUGAAUACGUUCCCGGGUCUUGUACACACCGCCCGUCACACCACGAGAGUUUGUAACACCCGAAGCCGGUGGAGUAACCUUUUAGGAGCUAGCCGUCGAAGGUGGGACAAAUGAUUGGGGUGAAGUCGUAACAAGGUAGCCGUAUCGGAAGGGGCGGCUGGAUCACCUCCUUUCUAAGGA
rnacentral:rRNA from 1 species